AUUGAACGCUGGCGGCAUGCUUUACACAUGCAAGUCGAACGGCAGCGCGGGCUUCGGCCUGGCGGCGAGUGGCGAACGGGUGAGUAAUGCAUCGGAACGUGCCCAGUAGUGGGGGAUAGCCCGGCGAAAGCCGGAUUAAUACCGCAUACGACCUGAGGGUGAAAGCGGGGGACCGAAAGGCCUCGCGCUAUUGGAGCGGCCGAUGUCGGAUUUGCUAGUUGGUGGGGUAAAGGCUUACCAAGGCGACGAUCCGUAGCUGGUCUGAGAGGACGACCAGCCACACUGGGACUGAGACACGGCCCAGACUCCUACGGGAGGCAGCAGUGGGGAAUUUUGGACAAUGGGGGCAACCCUGAUCCAGCCAUGCCGCGUGCGGGAAGAAGGCCUUCGGGUUGUAAACCGCUUUUGUUCGGGAAGAAAUCCUCUGGGCUAAUACCCCGGGGGGAUGACGGUACCGGAAGAAUAAGCACCGGCUAACUACGUG
rnacentral:rRNA from 1 species